GCUCGGAUGGUGUAGUUGGUUAUCACGUCAGUCGUAGGUUAUCCCAGUUCCAAACCGCAUUCGAGGUUUUCAAUACUAAUACCAAAGCAGUAACAUUAGUUGCACUGAAGGUCCUGAGUUCAAACCUCAGUCCGAGUA